GGUGGAGCGGCCAGGGCACAGACCGGCUGCCAGGGCCCUACUUUUGAAUAAAAGAGGCGCUGCCAGGUGCACAGCUCCGGGCAUGAUCCAGCUGAACUUCGGGGGAAAGGCCAGCAUUGGUUCCAGGACAGGUGCCUAGAAGGACACGGUGCAGGACCCCCGUGGGAUCUGAAUCUAGUCAGCCAACAGGUGCACGCUUA